rnacentral:rRNA from 1 species
AGGGGAUGAGCUGUGGAUAGGGGUGAAAGGCCAAUCAAACACCGUGAUAGCUGGUUCUCCCCGAAAUGCAUUUAGGUGCAGCGUUGUGUUAGUUUUAUAGAGGUAGAGCUACUGAUUGGAUGCGGGGGCUUCACCGCCUACCAAUUCCUGACAAACUCCGAAUGCUAUAAAAUGAUGCACAGCAGUGAGGGCAUGGGUGCUAAGGUCCAUGUCCGAGAGGGAAAGAACCCAGACCAUCAGCUAAGGUCCCAAAAUGUAUGCUAAGUUGAAUGAACGAGGUCAAGUUGCUUUGACAGCUAGGAUGUUGGCUUGGAAGCAGCCAUUCAUUUAAAGAGUGCGUAACAGCUCACU